rnacentral:rRNA from 1 species
CACGUAGGGCGCAAGCGUUGUCCGGAAUUAUUGGGCGUAAAGCGCACGUAGGCGGAUUUGUAAGUCAGGGGUGAAAUCCCGGGGCUCAACCUCGGAACUGCCUUUGAUACUGCAAAUCUUGAGUCCGGAAGAGGUGAGUGGAAUUCCUAGUGUAGAGGUGAAAUUCGUAGAUAUUAGGAAGAACACCAGUGGCGAAGGCGGCUCACUGGUCCGGUACUGACGCUGAGGUGCGAAAGCGUGGGGAGCAAACAGG